GUGUCAGCAGCCGCGGUAAUACGAAGGGGGCUAGCGUUGUUCGGAAUUACUGGGCGUAAAGCGCACGUAGGCGGAUAUUUAAGUCAGGGGUGAAAUCCCGGGGCUCAACCCCGGAACUGCCUUUGAUACUGGGUAUCUCGAGUCCGAGAGAGGUGAGUGGAAUUCCGAGUGUAGAGGUGAAAUUCGUAGAUAUUCGGAGGAACACCAGUGGCGAAGGCGGCUCACUGGCUCGGUACUGACGCUGAGGUGCGAAAGCGUGGGGAGCAAACAGGAUUAGAUACCCGGGUAGUCC
rnacentral:rRNA from 1 species